rnacentral:sRNA from 1 species
AACCUGCGGAAGGAUCAUUACAGAGUUCAUGCCCUCACGGGUAGAUCUCCCACCCUUGUAAAUAUAACUAUCUGUUGCCUUGGCGGGCCUCGUGCCCGCCAGAGGACCCCCAAACUCUGUGUAUUAGUGUCGUCUGAGUACUAUAUAAUAGUUAAAACUUUCAACAACGGAUCUCUUGGUUCUGGCAUCGAUGAAGAACGCAGCGAAAUGCGAUAAGUAAUGUGAAUUGCAGAAUUCAGUGAAUCAUCGAAUCUUUGAACGCACAUUGCGCCCCUUGGUAUUCCGGGGGGCAUGCCUGUUCGAGCGUCAUUACAACCAAUCCAGCUUGCUGGGUCUUGGGCGCCGCCUCCGGGCGCGCCUUAAAAUCAGUGGCGGUGCCUGCGAGCUCUACGCGUAGUAAUUCUUCUCGCUACAGGGUCUCGUGGGAUGCUGGCCAUCAACCCCC